UGAAUCAAUGGUGACCACUGGUGGCAUAUAAGUCAUGGAUGGUGAAUAUGAGAAGAAAAGAAUCUAGGUUUUU
ensembl:snoRNA